rnacentral:lncRNA from 1 species
UUCUUUCUGAUGUGUUAUUCAACGUGUUAGGCUCUGACGAAAAGUCGUUUUGGUAACAUGUGCGAUGUGUCUUUCAGGCUCUGCGUUUCUCUCUACCACCGUCGUGACUCCUCUGCUCAUAAGACACAUCUUACUCUCGCUUCCUCUGCUUACAUUGAAUUGCUCUUUCUUCAAUGCUCUCUAGCUCAGAAAUCUCAUUAAUCUAAUUAUUGAUUAUGGGCACCCUCUUGAGAGCUCUUCGUGACUUACCACUUGUGGAAGCGUCUUCGAUCUGCAUCACUUUGGCUCUUCUCUUAGUGUUUAUCAUCGAUAUCUCCGCGAGACGGUUGCUUCUCUGCCUCCGUCGCGGUCCUUUCCUCAAACACGACUCUAUAGGAAUCUCUAGUUCAGGAGACGCCCGCGAGCUUCAAGUCACCAUUGGCUACAAAUUCUCGGUUCUUUGCUGUUUCUUCGUCUUAAUCGUGCACGUUUCAGUUUUAGUGUUGGAUGUUGUCGGAGUAACUAAGGAAAGAAACGCGAUUAGUGUUCUUUUCUCGCCGGUUACAGAGGUUGUAGCUUGGUUAGUGUUGUGCGCAUCAGUUGUUCGAUGUAAUUACACCUCUGCGGAAAAGUUCCCUUUGCUGUUAAGGCUAUGGUGGGUUGUGGGUUUCUUCUUUUGUUUAUGGGCUUUGAUCAUAGACUCCAGAGAGCUUGUUGUGAACGGCUCGAACCAUUUGUCUUCACACGUCGUUGGGAACUUUGUUUCAGCUCCUGCUCUGGCUUUCCUCUGCUUCGUGGCUCUCAGAGGUGUAUCAGGUCUUCGAGUUAUUACUACACAUUCACAUCUUCUUGACCCUCUGCUUGUCGAAGAAGAAGAAGAAGAAAAAGCUGGGUGUCUCAGUGUUACUUCCUACAGCGACGCCGGGUUGUUCAGCCUCGCUACGCUUUCGUGGCUGAAUCCUCUCCUCUCCCUUGGCGCGGUGAUUUCCGCCGGUUUGAAGACAUCCGUACAAGUGAUCCACAUCUUCAUACCACUUCAAGUUUGUUGGACAUUCAAGGGGAAGCUUACCGUUUAUUAGAUCUUCAUAACCAUUGCCUUUGAACGUGAUCAUACUAGGUUUUAUCUUGAACUGCUUGAAAUCGUGAAUCCAAAAACUUAACACCCAAACGUCAAUGAAGGCAAUCCGUUUGGACCAGAAUGGGGUGGGAUUUCGCAUGAACCUUUUAAUGAGGACGUUUAUAUACGCACCGACAUACUACACAAAGAAUAUUAACAAGUCAGCCGUAAUCAAAUAUAUAAGUCAGCCGUAAUCAAAUAUAUAACUCAGCUGUAAUAGAAUAUAUAACUCAGUCGUACUAAAGACUUACAUUAUCAAACACCCAUCCAUAUUCUUUUUCUGGCCACGGUCUUUCAUGGAUGAGUAUGAUGUAGAAGUCACUCUCAUGAUCAGCUGAGAGGACUGCUGGUUUAUCUGCUGGUGCUGGUGGUUUGGGUGGAAUUCCCUUAAUGUGUUGCAUCAGUUUUUCGAAUAGCACUGGAUCAACAGGUGCUAGAGGGUCAUAUAUUGCUGAUGAAAGCUUAACAUUCUUCCUCAUGCACGUCGUUCCAUCGUCUCCAAUGUACGAAAAAACUGAUGGUGAAGAAACUGCCGUCAAUGCAAACCCUUUUGGAGAUAAUUGAAAACAUUUCUCCCGAUAUUCCUUUACUACAGCAGAUCUAACCUCUUCCUGAUUCUCGACAUCAGUCUCCGGCGUAAAUUCGUUCUCUUCCACAAGAACUUCGUCGUUCGUCACAGCACAUUCACUGUCCUCUCCAGCAUGUUUUUGCUUCUUUAACUUAGCAUGUUUUUGCUUCUUUAGCUCAGCCAGUUUUUGCUUCUUUAACUUAGCAUGUUUUUGCUUCUUUAGCUCAGCCAGUUUUUGCUUCUUUAACUCAGUCUCUUUUCUCUUAGUCUCGGCUUCUUGAUUCUUUAAAUCAGCCAGUUUUUGCUUCUUUAACGCAGCCUAUUUUCUCUUAGCGUCAGCCUUCUCCUUCCUUUUCAACGCAGCCUCUGCCUGCACUGCUUUUUUCUUAUCAGCGGCAUCCUCAUCCUUUACAGUACGCCUACCCCUGCAGCCGCGUACAUAGGCUGGAACCUUAGCAUCCUUAUCAUCCUUAGUAGCCUUUGAAGGAGAAACAUAUACGAAAUCAAGAUCAGUAGCUUUAGCGACACUACCAAACUCCUCAGCCAAAGUCCUUUUCACCCCUGUAUCCUUACCAAACUCCUCAGCCAAAGUUCUUUUCACCCAUGUAUCCUUAUCAAACUCCUCAGCCAAAGUCCUUUUCACCCCUGUAUCCUUACUAGGAUUCUCGCCGACUAACGCUAGACUAUUGACAGACUUGACUUCUGCUGCGUAUUCUGCUGCGGUGAUGGCAAAGAUUCUUCUUCGUCGCCGUUUGAGAGGCUAUCAUAGUUUUCGGGAAUUUUCCCUAGAACUUUCAGACGCUCCUCCACUAAAGCUUUCACCAUGUCAUCAAUGGUCUUCUGGUCCAUCAAUGGUCUGUUCCGUUCUAACUCGUAAGCGUCAAACCGUGAGUCAAUCUGACCAAAUUUUCUAUAAAUAUUCUCCAGAGUACUCACAAUGGUCGUCAGAGUCGCUUUGUUCUCCAAAUCUUUGCUACCUUCCUCCUCGCUAGAACCCUUUCCCGUUGCAGAAGCUUUACCCUCAAUGUUGUUCACUUCAUUAUGUGUCUUAACUUUCUUCUGCUUCUUAGUGGGUGGCUCAGCUUCUGACGAAACUCCACCCUUCAUUUUCUUCUUCUUCUCAUUCCCCUUCCCCUGCACAUUCCCCUGCACUUUUCAAAAACCUUUCACAAAUCUACUUGUAUGUAUGUCUGUUAUCAAGCUAACGAGUUGUGGGUCGUCAGGUUCACCCGACUAUUUAGGAAACAUCUCUUCAAUUGAGUCCUUCAAAACCAUUCUCCUCACACGCACCUGCAACACCAGGUUAUAAUUAAACUCAGCCACCAAAAUAACACAUAAAUCAGCCAUCAAAUAUAAUAAAUCAGCCAUAAAAAAACUAAAAACUCAGCGUUAAACCUUACCUCGCCAUGCUCUUUGAUUUCGGCAGCCAACAAGUUAUCAAAACUUUCACGUGUACGCUUUCCAUCCCGUCGCAGAAACGGAACGUCUUCAUUAUUCACCACUCUCCCAAAAUUCUCACCGAAGCAGUCGACAUAUUCAUACGCUCAAAACAAUAACGCGACGGUCAUGCCGCUUAUUGUGUAUGACCCUCCUUCUGGAGCCAACGUUUUAAUAGAGUCAAUGAGAACUUCGUAUACAGUCUGACCCCAUGGAUACGACCCCAUGGCUUCAUCGUCGUAUACCCUUAUUGCACUUUCAAAAGGUAUCCUUGAAUUGUGAUGCAAACAAUAGACUCCCAUGGCUUGAAGAAGUAGCAGCCCCAACCACUUACGCUUUUCAAAACUCCAAAGCGGACAGAACGCUAAUGCUUCCUUCAGUUCAUCUAACUUAGGUCCCAUCCCAAGCGGCACCUUCAACUCCUCCCAAAACUCUUUGUAUUGAUCAGGUUCAAAACUUUAUGUUGGCAAUGGACCUGUGUUUAACCCAGUGAUCUCACAAAACUCGAGCAAGCCUGAUAGCCUCAUCAACCACGAGACACCAUAUCUCCUUCUUAUGUACUCGCAGCUGUCUACAUAGUAGAUAGUGUACAGUCCUACCAGACCAUAUGCUUUCGCGUCCAGCUAGCCUAAUAACUACUCUAAUGGGAGAGUUCACCAGUUCUUUCCACACAUCAAGUCCUAUUGUUUCUCUAAUGUGGGGGAAAUUUCCUAGACGGAAAUUGUGAUUAAUAUCUUUUUUUUCUAGGUUAGAAGACUCUUCAGGGUAAAGUCUUGGAGGGUAAUCCCGUGAUUUAACUUCAGCAACAUCCAUCUGAUCAUAUAACCCAACAAUAAAUCAGCCACAAGAUAACAAUAACACAGCCAUAACAUAACAAUAACUCAACAAAAUAAAAAUAACUCAACCACAACAUAACAGUAACUCAGCCAUAACAUAACAAUUCCUCAGUCACGACAUAGCGAUAACUCAACAAUAACAUAACAAUUACUUAGUCACAACAAAACCCUAACUCAGACGCAACAAAACCCUAACUCAGACGCAACAAAACCCUCAACCCUAUCACAGCCGCAACAUAACCUUAUCUCAGUCGCAACAAAAUAUAUAACUCACAUGAAAUAUAAUAUAUAACUGACCCACAAACUCAACCAAAACACAAUAUAUAACGUCGCGAAAUCCUACCGGAAAAGACGAACUCGUAGAUAAGAAUGCGACGAAGACGAUUUCGUAUAAACGACUGAAGACGACGAUUUCGGGGAAGACGAUAUCGGAGAAGACACAAUAUCAACGACAGAGAGUUAGUUCGAGAAAGACGAAGUAAACACAAUGUCGACGAGGAUUUCGGAGAGUGGGAGAAAGCUUGCGGUUCCUUCUUCGAGACGACGACAAUGUUCUUCGUUUCUUUUUUUUUAACCCUUAUGUAUUUGUGGAGAAGGAGACGGUUUGAUUUCUAUUUUGCUUAUGUGGAUUGUUAAUUACUGAUGUGGAUUUAGUGGUUAAAAAUAAUUUCAAUUAAAAAAAACUAAUCAGAUGCUCUUAUUGUCAUUUACUAGGUGUAUCCAAACAUUUUAGUAAUUUUAAAAAGAUAUAUAACACUCUCUACUAAACCAAAUUUUCUAUAAUAAUUUUCUCAAUAUAUAACACACUACUGCUAUUUAAGACUAUAUAUAUAUUAUGAUUGCGUCUGAAGAUCAGAAAACCUCGACUGCAUCUACAUUAUAUGUAAUCUGGUGUAUGUAUGUGUGUGUGAGAGAGAGAGAGAGUUUCAGAUUUAAAGGUAAGAAGAAGAAGAGGAGAAAGCAAAUCCAAAUUGAUCCUACAUUUUGCGACUCAAUCUCUCUCUCUGUUGUAACGCCAUUAUCAUACACAGCUGGAAACAUCUCUUCUACUCUCUCUCUCUCUCUCUCUCUUCUCGGCUAGGGCGGGGAGAGAGAAGGAGAAGCGACAUUGUCUUCGAUCACGGUAUUGUCGUACAUAAAUUUUAAAAAAUUUCAUCAUGUGUGUUUUUGUCUUCUUGUGUCUUUCUCUAGAUAACAUCGAUGCAACACAACAAAAAGUCUUUAAAAAGAACAUAUUUCUUCUUCUUUCUGAUGUGUUAUUCAACGUGUUAGGCUCUGACGAAAAGUCGUUUUGGUAACAUGUGCGAUGUGUCUUUCAGGCUCUGCGUUUCUCUCUACCACCGUCGUGACUCCUCUGCUCAUAAGACACAUCUUACUCUCGCUUCCUCUGCUUACAUUGAAUUGCUCUUUCUUCAAUGCUCUCUAGCUCAGAAAUCUCAUUAAUCUAAUUAUUGAUUAUGGGCACCCUCUUGAGAGCUCUUCGUGACUUACCACUUGUGGAAGCGUCUUCGAUCUGCAUCACUUUGGCUCUUCUCUUAGUGUUUAUCAUCGAUAUCUCCGCGAGACGGUUGCUUCUCUGCCUCCGUCGCGGUCCUUUCCUCAAACACGACUCUAUAGGAAUCUCUAGUUCAGGAGACGCCCGCGAGCUUCAAGUCACCAUUGGCUACAAAUUCUCGGUUCUUUGCUGUUUCUUCGUCUUAAUCGUGCACGUUUCAGUUUUAGUGUUGGAUGUUGUCGGAGUAACUAAGGAAAGAAACGCGAUUAGUGUUCUUUUCUCGCCGGUUACAGAGGUUGUAGCUUGGUUAGUGUUGUGCGCAUCAGUUGUUCGAUGUAAUUACACCUCUGCGGAAAAGUUCCCUUUGCUGUUAAGGCUAUGGUGGGUUGUGGGUUUCUUCUUUUGUUUAUGGGCUUUGAUCAUAGACUCCAGAGAGCUUGUUGUGAACGGCUCGAACCAUUUGUCUUCAC